rnacentral:rRNA from 1 species
AGGCGUUGAGCUAACCCGCAAGGGAGGCAGGCGACCACAGUGGGUUUAGCGACUGGGGUGAAGUCGUAACAAGGUAGCCGUAGGGGAACCUGCGGCUGGAUCACCUCCUUUCUAAGG